CUCACCCCGCGGGCCCCUUUUGUGUUGUUCUUGCCAACGCAGCAGCCCUCGUGCUAUAUAGACCCGCGCGCCGGCGGCCCAUCACUGACCUCCAUCCACCAGCCAUGGGGAAGAUCACCUUCUACGAGGACCGGGGCUUCCAGGGCCGCCACUACGAGUGCAGCAGUGACCACCCGAACCUGCAGCCCUAUUUCAGCCGCUGCAACUCCAUCCGCGUGGACAGCG